GAUGAACGCUAGCGGCGUGCCUAAUGCAUGCAAGUCGAACGGGAUCCUUUGGACUCGUCUAAAGGUGAGAGUGGCGAACGGGUGAGUAACACGUUGGUGACCUACCCCAGAGAGGGGGAUAACCAUUGGAAACGAUGGCUAAUACCCCGGAUGUCGUCAUGGUUAGAGAGUGAUGACUGAAGCUCCGGCGCUCUGGGAGGGGCCUGCGGCACAUCAGCUAGUUGGUAAGGUAAUGGCUUACCAAGGCAAAGACGGGUAGGGGGCGUGAGAGCGUGACCCCCCACACUGGUACUGACACACGGACCAGAUACCUACGGGUAGCAGCAGCAAGGAAUAUUGCCCAAUGGACGAAAGUCUGAUGCAGCAACGCCGCGUGUAUUAUUAUUGCCUUCGGGUUGU
rnacentral:rRNA from 1 species